rnacentral:pre_miRNA from 1 species
GUAGUACUCGCUCCGUUCGAAAUUACUUGUCGCAAAAAUGGAUGUAUCUACAUCUAGAUACAUCCAUUUUUGCGACAAGUAAUUUCGAACGGAGGGAGUAUUUU